GGCUUUAUAGUCAAAUGUAUGAUAUUAGACUGCAAUUCUAAAGUAGGAUUAAAUUAUAUCCUAAAGCUU
rnacentral:tRNA from 1 species